UGGGGAAUUUUGGACAAUGGGCGCAAGCCUGAUCCAGCCAUGCCGCGUGCGGGAAGAAGGCCUUCGGGUUGUAAACCGCUUUUGUCAGGGAAGAAAUCUUCUGAGUUAAUACCUCGGGAGGAUGACGGUACCUGAAGAAUAAGCACCGGCUAACUACGUGCCAGCAGCCGCGGUAAUACGUAGGGUGCAAGCGUUAAUCGGAAUUACUGGGCGUAAAGCGUGCGCAGGCGGUUUUGUAAGACAGAGGUGAAAUCCCCGGGCUCAACCUGGGAACUGCCUUUGUGACUGCAAGGCUUGAGUGCGGCAGAGGGGGGAUGGAAUUCCGCGUGUAGCAGUGAAAUGCGUAGAUAUGCGGAGGAACACCGAUGGCGAAGGCAAUCCCCUGGGCCUGCACUGACGCUCAUGCACGAAAGCGUGGGGAGCAAACAGGAUUAGAUACCCUGGUAGUCCACGCCCUAAACGAUGUCAACUGGUUGUUGGGAAGGUUCCUUCUCAGUAACGUAGCUAACGCGUGAAGUUGACCGCCUGGGGAGUACGGCCGCAAGGUUGAAA
rnacentral:rRNA from 1 species